GAGUUUUUGAAUGAAUUGUAGAUAACGCUGAGAAGAAGGUGAAGAGUUCGUAUUUUGAUUUGCCGGCUAUGAAUGUAUCCGUUGCAUUUUCUCAAGCAACUCCAGCCUCUAAGUUCCCACCCUGCACUUCAGACUAUUAUCAUUUCAAUGAACUAUUGACUCGGGAAGAGCAGGCUGCGCGGAAGAGAGUGAGGGAGUUCAUGGAGAAAGAAGUUGCCCCCAUUAUGACAGAGGUUUGUCUAUCUUCAUGUUUGUUUGUUUACUUUGAUAGUAUCAUUGAGUGACAUCAUCCUUCUUUCUUUGAUUUUUACUCAUCAGUACAUUCCAUAUCAUUCCAAAGCUUGGAGCUUCCAUUCCAAAGCUUGGACCUUUAGGUGUUGUUGGUGGCUCUAUUAAGGGUUAUGGCUGUCCUGGCCUCUCCAUCACAGCCAAUGCCAUUGCAACAGCAGAGAUAUCUAGAGUUGAUGCAAGUUGUGGGACUUUUAAUUUGGUGCAUACCUCUUUGGGCAUGCUCACUAUUGGAGAAGUACGAAGACUACUUGAAGCUUAAAUCAAGAGUUGAGAUCCUACAAUAUUCACAACGGCACUUGCUAGGUGAGCCGGUAUGGGAGUAGAUGAGCUUGAGCAGCUAGAACUUCAAUUAGAUACAUCAGUAAGGCAAAUAAGAUCCACAAUGGUAUCUUAGAUGCACACGACAUGUCAACUUCCUCAGACUGUGGAGUUCCUUGGCACUGGAGAAGUUGUUAGAAUUGAAACUACUAAUGGGUGGUGCCUGCCCGUGGAUUCUCUUCCUUCACAUGUUCAGUACCUAAAGAUGUCUGCACCGUCAAGAAGCCUCACAAUGGUUAGCUUCGCAUCAUUGGGAGUGCCCAAGCCUAAUGCCCAUUCAUGCUCCUUUUGUUUCUACUUUUCUUCUAAGUUAGAAUAACCUGUUUAAGCAAGUCCCUUCCUCUCUGGAUCUUUUUGUGUGGUCAACGUUUCAUAAUAUUUUCCAUGUUUAAUCUUCGCAAAAUUUUCAUUUUGCUUUGCUUGGUCACUUAAAAGUCUAUUGGGCCCAAUCUUAAUUUAUAAAAACGUAAUUACGAAAGCU